rnacentral:tRNA from 1 species
GCCGCGGUAGCUCAGCUGGGAGGCAUGCCCAAGAGCGCCUGGCUGAAGACCAGGAGGUCCCGGGUUCAAAUCCCGGCCGCGGCACCA